GUGCUCGCUUCGGCAGCACAUAUACUAAAAUUGGAACGAUACAGAGAAGAUUAGCAUGGCCCCUAGCACAAGAAUAAGGCGGCCUUCUGGUGAUAAAGCGUCUAAGGGU